UACGUAGGAGGCGAGCGUUGUCCGGAAUUAUUGGGCGUAAAGAGCUCGUAGGCGGCUUGUCACGUCGGGUGUGAAAGCCCGGGGCUUAACCCCGGGUCUGCAUUCGAUACGGGCUAGCUAGAGUGUGGUAGGGGAGAUCGGAAUUCCUGGUGUAGCGGUGAAAUUCGUAGAUAUCGGGAGGAACACCGGUGGCGAAGGCGGCGAUCUGGGUCGAUACUGACGCUGAGGUGCGAAAGCGUGGGGAGCAAACAGG
rnacentral:rRNA from 1 species